AUAGGAUGAUAAUUUUAUAAAAUUGAAUAGCACUUCAGAUACAUUGUGAUCAGUAACUUUAAUUUAAAGGUUUAGAACUAAUAGCAACAUUGGCAUUUUCCAUUAUAAAAUUGUUUCAUUAUAACCUUUACGAACAGUCAUAAAGUUAUGGCACUGCACUGGUGAAUUUGAGCAAACUCUUUCUUAUAAAAAUGAUAAACUUGUGGAAUCAUCAAGUGGUAUUAAAAGUAACCAAAUCAAUUCUGAUUUUCUUUCUUCAGCUAUAAAAGAGACAUAUACAUUACAUGGUGUAUAUAAGUCUCGUACAUUACAAAAAUCUCAUUUAUCAAAUAAUGUUAAGAAAAGACCAAUAUCUCUUCUGCUCGAGGUUAAAUCUGGAGUUAAGAUCAGGAAAUCAAAGGUAUUUCAGGUAUACAAGAGUUUAAUAAAAAUAUUUUUGUUAAAAAGUUCCCUGUAAUAUCUUCAUAAAUGUCCACUAAAAUGACUCACUGCUAAUUGUGUGUAAUGGAAAACUUGGUGUGAAAAAUUAUUGUUUGAAGAAAAUAACAAUGUGCAUGUCAUAUUUUAAAGUAAUAUUGUCUUUAAUGUUAUAUAUUAAUUAAUGACUGUUUAAAAUUAAAUAAUAAUAAUUCAGUAAAACUGCAUGAUAAAUUCAAUUAAAAACAGUAGUGUGAAUAAUCAAAUCAUUUGAUUAUUUAUGUACAGGGUGUACAUAAAAGAUCUUUGCAACUUUAUGCAUUAAUAAGAAUUUUAAGUCUACCUUCACAAAAGUUCCAGAUAGAUUUCAUUUAAAAAAGAUAUUCAAAAAUGUUCAUAUAUGGCAUUCUUGGUCAUGAGCAUUUCACAAUAGGUACUGAUUAGCUGGAUUAACAGAAUUUACUCAGUAGCCAUGAGUCCUCAAGUGCAUUGAGUCAUUUAUUGAAACAAAAUUUAAUAUUGUGGCUCUAAAUAAGUGUGGAACUCUAUAUAACACACCACUGUCAUCAAGAUCUAUUUUCAUGCUUGGUAUGAAAGAUUUAUGACCACAGUAAGUGUUGAAUAUAAGAAAGGUUAUGAGUGACCUAGAGUAUCUGAUGAAAAUAUGGAACAAGAGUGAGAGUCAUUUCUUCAUAGAAGUCAACAUGAACAACAGCUGGAGUUAAAUGUGUCUCUCACACUGUUCAUAAAGUACUGAGGAGUUGUUCACAUAUAUGUUCUUGCACAUUUCAAAUCCCAUAAGAAAUCACUCAAGAUGAUUGGAUUUCUCAUAGAGAUUUUGCAAUUACCAUGCUUGAUUGUUUGGAAGAUAUCAACAGUUUUCUUAGAAAAAAGUAACUUUUAGUAAGGCUACUUUUCAUUUGUUCAGCAAAGUAAAUAAAUAAAAUGUCAGUGUCUGAAGCUUGGAAAAGCUGCAU